UACGAAGGGGCUAGCGUUGCUCGGAAUCACUGGGCGUAAAGCGCACGUAGGCGGAUAUUUAAGUCAGGGGUGAAAUCCCAGAGCUCAACUCUGGAACUGCCUUUGAUACUGGGUAUCUUGAGUAUGGAAGAGUAAGUGGAAUUGCGAGUGUAGAGGUGAAAUUCGUAGAUAUUCGCAGAACACCAGUGGCGAAGGCGGCUUACUGGUCAUAACUCGACGCUGGACGGUGACGCAAAG
rnacentral:rRNA from 1 species